rnacentral:rRNA from 1 species
AUUGAACGCUGGCGGCAGGCCUAACACAUGCAAGUCGAACGGUAACAGGAAGAAGCUUGCUUCUUUGCUGACGAGUGGCGGACGGGUGAGUAAUGUCUGGGAAACUGCCUGAUGGAGGGGGCUAACUACUGGAAACGGUAGCUAAUACCGCAUAACGUCGCAAGACCAAAGAGGGGGACCUUCGGGCCUCUUGCCAUCGGAUGUGCCCAGAUGGGAUUAGCUAGUAGGUGGGGUACGGCUCACCUAGGCGACGAUCCCUAGCUGGUCUGAGAGGAUGACCAGCCACACUGGAACUGAGACACGGUCCAGACUCCUACGGGAGGCAGCAGUGGGGAAUAUUGCACAAUGGGCGCAAGCCUGAUGCAGCCAUGCCGCGUGUAUGAAGAAGGCCUUCGGGUUGUAAAGUACUUUCAGCGGGGAGGAAGGGAGUAAAGUUAAUACCUUUGCUCAUUGACGUUACCCGCAGAAGAAGCACCGGCUAACUCCGUG